AACAGUAACUAAGCGUUAAUAGUGCGUUUAGGUGUGUGUGUGUGUGGGGGAUCGCCGUGGCAGGCCUCUGCAGCCGCAUGCAUGCUGGGUACCGCCCUUUUGAGUACUCAUACCGCCUACCGUUACCUACACUUCAAAGCCAAUAAUAUUAUUAUAGAAAUUCUGAGCAGUUGAAGCGCAUUUACCAUAUGGAAGUGUCCAGCUGACCAAACGUGUUGGCUGUUGUGCGUUUGAUAGCUAAAUAAAAUAAAUAAAUUAAGAAAUAAAUAAAUAGUAUUAACUUACUCGUACGCAUGCAGUAUAUUUACGAACAAUUUGUCCAUUUUAUCUACUCGACGCAUAAGUAAUUCGAAAGCAUACGCACACCUACAUACAUACAUAUGUAUGUACAUGCAUGCAUUGCUGCAUAUGUGGAUUCAUGUAUUAUGUAGUAGUUACAUAUUUACGCGCCUGUUAGUAUGCAGCACAAGGUCACACACACGGCGUAUGAUCAAUUAAUUAAGUGCAGUGUGACUGGAGUGAGUUAAAGAGUGUGUGUAGAAAAGCAUAAGCGCCAACAGCAACAAUAAACAACAACAACAACAAAACAAUGGUCGACUUAAAUACUUGCCCGCCUACACCACCGGGUGGCGAACGCUCUAAAAUCAAAAGCUUUAUGGGACGCACUCCGGGUAUUGGAAUAUUGAAGUCGAAAUUUCUAACAGUGCUGGGGAAUAGUAAUGAGCUGCUCAACGGUAUUUCGAAUAAGCUCACACUAAGCAUCAGCUCCAGCGAAUCGGAGUAUUGCGAUGACGAUGAAGAGGUUCCUACUUUUGACGAGACAAUCGAUUACACGAAAAUCGAUUACGAGUUUCGGCGUAUUAAGGCGCGACGAGCGCAUGAAGAGAUCAUAUCAGGACGGUUUCGCUAUCCCAACCUUUUACCAAGACCCCGCUUGGAGGCCACACGCAGCAGCGCACGCGAUAAAAUACGACGUUCCGCUUCGAGUUCCUCAACUUCCAGUUCCACAUCGUCUUCAUACUCACCGCCCGUCAAUCGUUCGCAUGUGAGUAGCACAACACGCUCAAAUUCAAUUGAGUCACGUCACUCCGGUGGCUACGGACGCCCUGGACGUGCUAUACCGGGCGCGCGACGCAGCGAACUCGACAUACAGAGAGACUUGUCACGCAUCACUGAUAUGCUGAGUGUCAAUGCCGCGGCCGCAGCAGCACCAAAUACAAACGCUGGUGCUCCGCAUAUCGAUGUACAACCGCCCUCGGAUCGUGAAUGCGGCAGCAACAACGGCGGCGCCAACGAGCAUCGCCUGCAACACCCCACACACUUGCACAUGGAUUUGCCAGCCAUGACCCAGUCAGGCACUAGCAUGGUGGUGCCACCACGCAGUCGCAACUCAAAUAGCAGCACUGUAACCAGCCUGCGAGACGAUCCCGAUGUGCAAAUCAGUCCGAGCAUUGAGUCCACGGACUGGCGCAAUUUCAUACGUUCAGAGUCACAAAAUUCGGUGCCAUCGUGGGCAUCGUCCAUCAGUUUGGAUUGUCGCGUGGGCGAGGAGCCGGUGAAGGAGUUCAUGAAACGUUUCAUUGAGGUGAUCUUUAGCAACGCCUCGGCCAUUGGGCUAGAACUGAAGGCAGAGUUCGGCGCCCUGGCGCGCAUCGAUGCGGGACGACAGUGGUUCACGCGAUUUCUGCUCGAGCAGAAAUCCAAAUCGAAGCGUGUAGACGAGGUGACCUUCCAUUCGUUGGUGCAAUACUUCGCUAUUGUCUUGUUCGAGUGCGGCGAGUGCGAGGAUUACGCACCGGCUGCGGUUAUUAUGAAUAUUUGUUUUAUGUUCUACAAUGAAAUUGAAGUUCCAGGCUGUGAUCCGUAUCGUCAGUACCUCUUCACCUAUAUGCGCCGCCAGCCGAUCUGGUAUAGUCAGCGCUUUUGGGGUGCCGCUUUCUUCGAGGCUGUGCAAAGUGAGCGUGAACAUCGGUUGGACAUGCGUAAGCGUCGUGCCGAAAAGAAACAGCGCAACAAAACACAAUUCGCAGCAAAGUCCGCAGAAGAGGCGAAAUUGAAAGAGCAGAGUUCAGUAGAGGCAGCGACGGUGGACGAGGCGCCAACGGAUGGGGCUGGCGCUGGUGCAAUUGUUGAUGGGGAACACGCUUCUACGUCCAGUUCUUCACAUCGUGGCAAUAUUGUGGCCUUAAAGGUGCACGCGGUUAAGAAAUCUGCUUCACAGACAAGUGCUGAAGAUACCUCUGGCGGUGUCGGUGGCGGUGGCGGAGUUUCAGCGGAGACGACAGCUUUAGUUGGUGGUUCUUUAAGCGCUGCAGCGGCCACUGGAAAGCAGCAUCAGCUCGAUCCGCACUCCAUCGAGAAUAUUGUGUUUCGACAACUGGGGGCCUUUACAUGCAAUAUGCACUCAUUGGGCCUACCUCAAGAUAUGUGCCUAGAAUUUUUGAAGAAACAAUCGGCAACGGCAAGCCAUAAUUUAUCAAAGGGCUCUGCUCCUGCUGGACAUGUCUUUUUAGAGUUACAAAUAUACAAGGUGCGGCGCGGCUAUGUCACUCAACAAGUAAAACUUACGGCAACACACUACUCAAAUACUACGAGCAGGCACUACUUCUGGUUUCGACCAGAAAAUGUAACAAACAAAAUUUAAACGUACACAACAUAAUCUAACCUCAAUGAAGCAGUAUACGUAUGAUUCAGUUUAGCUAGCGAUAGUUGUCUCCGUCUAACCGGCAUUGCAAGUGGCGUUGGUUGGAAAAUGACAAAAACAGAAACAACGGUACAAACAAAAGUUGGUGAAGAAUGCAGUGAGAUAAGGCGUGAAGUUGCCGCAUAAAUUCUACAUACAUAUUUUGGCCACAACACACUUGCGCUUGGCUUAGAGUACCGUGCUAAUGACCGAGGGAGGUAACUGAAAACAAACCCAAACUCCACGCAAAUAUGUAUAAAUGUUAACUGAAAUGGAAACCAAUGCAGCCCAAAAAUAUGUUAGGUACUACAACCAACGCACGUUAAUGGAGCGCAGCGCUGCUGUUAGAAGUUAGGUUAGGCACGUUUGACGCGACAAUCCAUGUUGGACCGUUUGAAAUGAUUUGUGCAAUCAAAUGGGGAAUACUAAAUUAAAUACAAAUCACAAAAGCCAUUACAUUUCUCACAGUUUUCAACAACAAAACUACAUAAGAGUAAAAACAAAGGCUAGAUUAGACAAAAGAAAGGGAAAUGCUCAAUCAAAUCAAAACAAAGUCAAUCGAUUGGAAUCGAGGCAAAUGUGAUUUUCAGCUAGAAGAGCUAGACAGCUUUGAUUGCGCCAACUAUACGCCGGCAGAUGACUUUCAGAGAAGAGCGGGCGAGACAAGGCAAGGCACGAACGAGUACCGUAUGACUACGGUGGGAUGUUGCUCAUACGUCUAGGAAGCCAGACAGCUGGCAGAGGCUAAUCGCCAGCUAUAGCGGGACAUUGGAGAUCACCCUUAUAAUGUGUAUUUGAACAGAACGAUUAACCCAACCUACUGCCUAAAUCAUCAAAUGCAAUCGACAUAAGUGACGGUCAAUAGCAAGCAAAGACAAUUAAUAGUGUGCUGCGAUGGGACCUUGCCACAAAUCGUUUAUCGCGCAAAAUGAUAAAACAACAACAAGGGAAUAGCAAAAUUCGACGCAGAAAAUAAUUUGAUCACUGAACACAAAACUGGGUGCAGUUAAAAUUCAAUGGCUUCGCUUGAACAAACAGCUUAACGGAAAGCAGAACUGGAUGCAUUUCGAUGCAGUUAAUUAAUUCAGACAAUCAUCAGCGGGCGGAAAAUAGCAAACCAACAUCCACUUUAUCUAAUUUCUUCCUCGAUGAAAAUGUUACCUUUCAAAAUUUGGAUUGCUGGUGAAAUGCGAGCAAUUUUAGCGAAUGAAUUAGCGUUCUAUAGGAUAUUUAAUAGAAGCUAAAUGAGGGUAUAUACAUACAGAUGCAUUUAUGUAUAUACAUAUGUAUGUAAAUAGUAGAUCUGUGUAAUUAAAAUGCGGCUGUAAGUCUACUGAUGUAAUUGAAAAGUAUGUACAUACAUAUCUGUGGAAAUUUGACCAAACAACUUAAGUCUAUCUUUCAUGGACAAGACAAAUAGCGUAUGUAUGUCGACAAAACUGUAAAAUAAGUUUUUGUCAAAGAGAAAAUAGUUACAAUUCGAAAGAAAUAUUAAAAUAUUUUAUCACUAUUUACAGCCUUUUAAAUGUCUCUAUUUUCAACAACUAUAAUAAUAAUAACUAUAAAGCAAAUUAUUUAAGGGUCUCCGCCUGUAGCAAUUGCAAAAAAAAA